AUUGAACGCUGGCGGCAUGCUUUACACAUGCAAGUCGAACGGUAACAGGCCGCAAGGUGCUGACGAGUGGCGAACGGGUGAGUAAUGCAUCGGAACGUGCCCAGUCGUGGGGGAUAACGCAGCGAAAGCUGUGCUAAUACCGCAUACGAUCUAUGGAUGAAAGCGGGGGACCGUAAGGCCUCGCGCGAUUGGAGCGGCCGAUGUCAGAUUAGCUAGUUGGUGGGGUAAAGGCCCACCAAGGCGACGAUCUGUAGCUGGUCUGAGAGGACGACCAGCCACACUGGGACUGAGACACGGCCCAGACUCCUACGGGAGGCAGCAGUGGGGAAUUUUGGACAAUGGGCGCAAGCCUGAUCCAGCAAUGCCGCGUGCAGGAAGAAGGCCUUCGGGUUGUAAACUGCUUUUGUACGGAACGAAACGGUCCGGGUUAAUACCCUGGGCUAAUGACGGUACCGCAAGAAUAAGCACCGGCUAACUACGUGCCAGCCGCCGCGGUAAGAC
rnacentral:rRNA from 1 species